UACGGAGGGUGCAAGCGUUAUCCGGAUUCACUGGGUUUAAAGGGUGCGUAGGUGGGCAGGUAAGUCAGUGGUGAAAUCUCCGAGCUUAACUCGGAACUGCCGUUGAUACUAUUUGUCUUGAAUAUUGUGGAGGUAAGCGGAAUAUGUCAUGUAGCGGUGAAAUGCAUAGAUAUUGUCAAGAACACCAAUUGCGAAGGCAGCUUACUAAAUUAUAACUGACGCUGAGGCACGAAAGUGUGGGUAUCAAACAGG
rnacentral:rRNA from 1 species